UAAAUGAGUACAGGUAGUCCAUGACUUAUGACAUUAAUUGAGCCUAACAGAACAAGACUAAUGUAAAACUAGCGCUGGAGGAGCUAAGAAGCCACCAUAGUAGUUUACCAUGGCUGUGGGGAAAGGAUUACCAUGGAAACAAAAGGGAUCAGGUUUCUUCUUCUUGAUUAUGCCAUGUGGCCUAGUGAGGGAACAGCCUUCUCUACACUGACUUCCUGAGCUCGUCAAAAAGAGAGCUACAUCUGCCAACACAGUUCUCCUAACACCACAGAAACUCAGUGAGUAGGAACAGCAAAGCAUCCCAUUCCACCAAGAACAAAUCAACAAAUCUUACUUUCCACAAGAGCAAACAGAAAAGAGCUUAUUUAUAAAACAGCUGGAACAUUUAAAGUUGUGGACUUCCCAGAGAUACCAAGCAAAGGAAGAACAUGGACCAUUGGAAAGGAGGACAAAUGGGAGAAGAGAAGAGAGGUGGGCUGAAGGAACAAGUCAUGCUUAUUGUUCUGCCUAUCUUCCGCCGAUACUUCUGUCCAAGUAUCACAUUUUGAACAUGACAUCCAGUAGAAUGCAGAGGGAAUGGUUUUGAAAGGAGGAAGAGCUCCUACCAACUGGGCCUUGAGACUGGGUCAAGGAACUGGCAUGAGUAAACAACUCAGACAAGUCUCAACCUACUUCAUACAAAUGAGAGAGAAGGGGGAACACUUUCAGAUUUGCAAGAGUCUGUUACUAUAGCUUUAUAAUAAUAAAAACUACUACUGAUCUACAUA